rnacentral:misc_RNA from 1 species
UUCAGGGAUAUCUUACGAGUACGCAGGUUCUAAGAGAACUUAAAGAAAGAGGUAUAGAGAUAAGCGAUAGAACUUUAAUCCGUUAUGUAAAGAGAGGCUUCAUUCCCGGUGAAUUGGUAAGGAUAAAGAGAAGAGGACUUGUUAAUUACUACUACUUCAAACCGGAAGUGGUAGAUUUUCUUG